GAGCCGGCAUCAUGGCACACUAACCGUAGCCCAAAACGCCUUGCUCAGCCACACCCCCAAGGGAAUUCAGCAGUGAUAAAUAUUAAGCCAUAAGCGAAAGCUCGACUUAGUCAAGGCUAAAAGAGCCGGUAAAACUCGUGCCAGCCACCGCGGUUAGACGGGAGGCUCAAAUUGAUGCUACACGGCGUAAAGCGUGAUUAAAAAACAAAUAAGCUAAAGCCGAACACCUCCUAAGCUGUCAUACGCUACUGGAUAGAUGAAGCCCCGUAACGAAAGUAGCUUUAAUACCUUUGAAUACACAACAGUUAAGAAACAAACUGGGAUUAGAUACCCCACUAUGCCUAACCAUAAACAAUGAUAACAAAUUACAAAUGUUAUCCGCCAGGGAACUACGAGCGUUAGCUUAAAACCCAAAGGACUUGGCGGUGUCUCAAACCCACCUAGAGGAGCCUGUUCUAUAACCGAUAAUCCACGUUAAACCUCACCACUUCUUGCUAAAACCGCCUAUAUACCGCCGUCGUCAGCUUACCUCUUGAGAGACUUAUAGUAAGCCUAAUGAGUUUUACCCAAAACGUCAGGUCGAGGUGUAGCGAAUGCAGUGGGAUGAAAUGGGCUACUUUUCUGACCCAGAAAAUUACGGAAAGUGCAUGAAACUAGCACGACUGAAG
rnacentral:rRNA from 1 species